rnacentral:rRNA from 1 species
GACGAACGCUGGCGGCGUGCCUAAUACAUGCAAGUCGAGCGCAGGAAACUGACGGAACUCUUCGGAGGGAAGGCAGUGGAAUGAGCGGCGGACGGGUGAGUAACACGUAAGGAACCUGCCUCAAGGAUUGGGAUAACUCCGAGAAAUCGGAGCUAAUACCGGAUAGUUCAACGGACCGCAUGGUCCGCUGAUGAAAGGCGCUUCGGCGUCACCUUGAGAUGGCCUUGCGGUGCAUUAGCUAGUUGGUGGGGUAACGGCCCACCAAGGCGACGAGGCAUAGCCGACCUGAGAGGGUGAUCGGCCACACUGGGACUGAGACACGGCCCACUCCUACGGGAGGCAGCAGUAGGGAAUCUUCCACAAUGGACGAAAGUCUGAUGGAGCAACGCCGCGUGAGUGAUGAAGGUUUUCGGAUCGUAAAACUCUGUUGUAAGGGAAGAACACGUACGAGAGGAAAUGCUCGUACCUUGACGGUACCUUACGAGAAAGCCACGGCUAACUACGUGCCAGCAGCCGCCGUAAGAC